AGUUAAGAUACUAUGGGCGUACGGCGGAUGCCUUGGCACAGGAAGCCGAUGAAGGACGUGGUAAGCUGCGAUAAGCUGCGGGUAGGCGCAAACAGCCUUUGAUCCGCAGAUCUCCGAAUGGGGCAACCCAAAUAGAGUUAUGUCUAUUUACCUAAGUUUGAAUACAUAGAACUUAGAGAGAUAACCUGGGGAACUGAAACAUCUAAGUACCCAGAGGAAGAGAAAUCAACCGAGAUUGCGCUAGUAGCGGCGAGCGAACGCGCAGAAGCGCAAACCUUUAUGUGUUUAUGGCCUCGAAGCUUCACCAUAAAGGGGUUGUGGGAUCAGCACCUACAGUGUUCGAGCACUGUAAAAAGGUAAAAAAUGUAUGAGAGUAGUAGAACAGUUUGGAAAAUCUGGCUAUAAAGGGUGAAAGCCCCGUAUAUGAAACUUCAUACACCUUUAAGUUGACACCCGAGUAGAUGCGGGCACGUGAAACCCGCCUCGAAUCUGGGGGGACCACCCUCCAACGCUAAAUACUCUCCUGUGACCGAUAGCGAACCAGUACCGUGAGGGAAAGGUGAAAAGCACCCCGAGAGGGGAGUGAAAUAGUACCUGAAACCGUACGCCUCCAAGCAGUCGGAGCAGUGGUAACACUGUGACGGCGUGCCUUUUGUAGAAUGAGCCAGCGAGUGGCGGUAUGUGGCAAGGUUAAGUUUAGAAACGAGCCAAAGCGAAAGCGAGUCUGAUAAGGGCGAUUAAGUCAUAUGCUGCCGACGCGAAGCCAGGUGAGCUAUCCUUGGGCAGGCUGAAGCGGGGGUAAGACCCCGUGGAGGGCCGAACCCACUUCGGUUGAAAACGGAGGGGAUGACCUGAGGAUAGGGGUGAAAGGCCAAUCAAACCUGGAGAUAUCUCGUUCUCCCCGAAAUAGCUUUAGGGCUAGCCUGAACUGUUCAGCUAUGGUGGUAGAGCACUGGAUUUCCUAGGGGGCUUCACCGCCUGCCGAAGAAAACCAAACUCCGAAUGCCACAGCUUUAAAGGUUCAGAGUCAGAGUGCGUGGGCUAAGCCGCGUGCUCAAGAGGGAAACAGCCCAGACCGUCCGCUAAGGCCCCUAAGUUCGUGUUAAGUGGCAAAGGAUGUGCGCUCGCCCAGACAGCCAGGAUGUUGGCUUAGAAGCAGCCAUACAUUUAAAGAGUGCGUAACAGCUCACUGGUCGAGUGGGAGCGCGCCGACAAUACACGGGGCUAAAUACGACGCCGAAGCGACGGGUUAAAACAUGCUUGUUUUAGCGGUAGGGGAGCGUCCUUGUAGGGUUGAAGCGGUAAGGGUGACCUGCCGUGGACAUGCAAGGAGUGAGAAUGCUGGCAUGAGUAGCGAGAGAAGAGCGAGAAACUCUUCCGCCGUAAGCCUAAGGGUUCCUGGGCGAGGCUAAUCCCCCCAGGGUCAGUCGGGAGCUAAGGUGAGGCCGCAAGGCGCAGCCGAUGCACAACAGGUUGAUAUUCCUGUACCACUAUUUAUACGUUUGAGCAUAAGCGGUGACAAAGAAGGAUAUGCAGGCGUGGUUCUGGACGUCCACGUGAAAGCAUGUAGACUUGAUGGUUGUAAAGUACGCCAUCUGUAUGGUUGAGAUGUGAGACGAAGUCUUUAUUGACGAAGCUGCAGAGUCCCUGCUUUCAAGAAAAACCGCGUAUGUGAGUAUGAAUAGUGCCCGUACCAAAACCGACACAGGUGGGCAGGUAGAGCAUACCGAGGCGAUCGGGGGAACCGUGGUCAAGGAACUCGGCAUAAUGGCCCCGUAACUUCGGAAGAAGGGGUGCCUUGUGAGGUGUAGAGAUUUACUCUCGAAGCUUUGUAAGGCCGCAGCGGAUUGGCCCAAGCGACUGUUUAUCAAAAACACAGGACUCUGCUAAGUCGAAAGACGAUGUAUAGGGUCUGACGCCUGCCCGGUGCUGGAAGGUUACGUGGAAGUGUUAGCGUAAGCGAAGCAUAGAAACUAAGCCCCAGUAAACGGCGGCCGUAACUAUAACGGUCCUAAGGUAGCGAAAUUCCUUGUCGGGUAAGUUCCGACCUGCACGAAUGGCGUAACGACUUGGGCGCUGUCUCGACCACGGACCCGGUGAAAUUGCAUUGUUCGUGAAGAUGCGAGCUAUCUGCGGAAGGACGGAAAGACCCCGUGAACCUUCACUGCAGCUUGGCAUUGGCCGUUGGCACGGAGCGUAGAGGAUAGGCAGGAGACUUUGAAACCGAGGCGCCAGCUUUGGUGGAGUCACCCUUGGAAUACUGCCCUCUUCGCGCCGGCGGCCUAACUUUUAGCCUUAUCAGGCAAAAGGACCGUGUCAGGUGGGCAGUUUGACUGGGGCGGUCGCCUCCUAAAAUGUAACGGAGGCGCACGAAGGUCCGCUCAGGACGGUUGGCAAUCGUCCCGAGAGCGCAAGAGUGCAAGCGGGCUUGACUGCGAGGCCUACAAGCCGAGCAGGUGCGAAAGCAGGUUCUAGUGAUCCGGCGGCUCAGAGUGGAAUGGCCGUCGCUCAACGGAUAAAAGGUACUCCGGGGAUAACAGGCUGAUCUUGCCCAAGAGUCCACAUCGACGGCAAGGUUUGGCACCUCGAUGUCGGCUCAUCGCAUCCUGGGGCUGGAGUCGGUCCCAAGGGUUGGGCUGUUCGCCCAUUAAAGCGGUACGCGAGCUGGGUUCAGAACGUCGUGAGACAGUUCGGUCCCUAUCCUCCGCAGACGUAAGAGGGUUGAGAAGACCCACCCCUAGUACGAGAGGACCGGGGUGGACGGACCUCCGGUGCGGCAGUUGUCGACCAACGGCAUGGCUGCUUAGCCGCGUCCGGCGCGGAUAACCGCUGAAGGCAUCUAAGCGGGAAGCCGUCUUCAAGAUGAGCCCUCUUUUUGGUAAGACCCCUAGUAGACUACUAGGUUGAUAGGACGCAGUUGCACGCUUCGUGAGAAGUUUAGACGAGCGUUACUAAUCGGUCGAGCUCUUCAUUUU
rfam:Coriobacteriales bacterium DNF00809 genomic scaffold Scaffold18, whole genome shotgun sequence.